GAUGAACGCUGGCGGCGUGCCUAAUACAUGCAAGUCGAGCGAACAGACGAGGAGCUUGCUCCUCUGACGUUAGCGGCGGACGGGUGAGUAACACGUGGAUAACCUACCUAUAAGACUGGGAUAUCUUCGGGAAACCGGAGCUAAUACCGGAUAAUAUAUUGAACCGCAUGGUUCAAUAGUGAAAGACGGUUUUGCUGUCACUUAUAGAUGGAUCCGCGCCGCAUUAGCUAGUUGGUAAGGUAACGGCUUACCAAGGCGACGAUGCGUAGCCGACCUGAGAGGGUGAUCGGCCACACUGGAACUGAGACACGGUCCAGACUCCUACGGGAGGCAGCAGUAGGGAAUCUUCCGCAAUGGGCGAAAGCCUGACGGAGCAACGCCGCGUGAGUGAUGAAGGUCUUCGGAUCGUAAAACUCUGUUAUUAGGGAAGAACAAAUGUGUAAGUAACUAUGCACGUCUUGACGGUACCUAAUCAGAAAGCCACGGCUAACUACGUG
rnacentral:rRNA from 1 species